UAGUUUGAUCCUGGCUCAGGACGAACGCUGGCGGCGUGCCUAAAACAUGCAAGUCGAACGAGGCCCACCCAGUGGCAACACUGGUGAAGGCCUAGUGGCGAACGGGUGAGUAACACGUGAGGAACCUGCCCCGAAGACCGGGAUAACCCUCCGAAAGGAGAGCUAAUACCGGAUGUCCCCUGGAGAUCGCAUGGUCACCAGAGGAAAUGCUUUUGUGCUUCGGGAGGGCCUCGCGGCCUAUCAGCUAGUUGGUGAGGUAACGGCUCACCAAGGCAUCGACGGGUAGCUGGUCUGAGAGGACGAUCAGCCACACUGGGACUGAGACACGGCCCAGACUCCUACGGGAGGCAGCAGUUAGGAAUCUUGCGCAAUGGGCGAAAGCCUGACGCAGCAACGCCGCGUGGGGGAUGAAGGCCUUCGGGUUGUAAACCCCUUUCAGUGGGGACGAAAAUGACGGUACCCACAGAAGAAGCCCCGGCCAACUACGUGCCAGCAGCCGCGGUAACACGUAGGGGGCAAGCGUUGUCCGGAUUUAUUGGGCGUAAAGGGCUCGUAGGCGGUUCGACAAGUCGGGUGUGAAACCUCCAGGCUCAACCUGGAGUCGCCACUCGAAACUGUUGUGACUUGAGUCCGGUAGGGGAGCAUGGAAUUCCUGGUGUAGCGGUGGAAUGCGCAGAUAUCAGGAGGAACACCAGUGGCGAAGGCGAUGCUCUGGGCCGGUACUGACGCUGAGGAGCGAAAGCAUGGGGAGCGAACAGGAUUAGAUACCCUGGUAGUCCAUGCC
rnacentral:rRNA from 1 species